UCGGACCCUGCCUAGCCAGCAGCCCAAGCUUGAGGAGCUCUCGUUCCCCUCCAUUGCCACCAUGGCCUCCACCUCUAACCUCCUCGAUUAGCUCUAGCCCGAGCCCCUCCCUCCUUCUCUCCACAACCAGCAAAACCCCUCCACCUAGUAGAGUCUCCCUACCCCUUCAUCUCGUUGCCGGAGUGCCAUAGCAGCGAGCCCAUCUCUGGCCGUAGCCACCGUCCUCCGUGGAUGCUGCUCUGCUCAACUCCGAGCUCCCCGGGGCUGAGUCGCCCAGGGAUUGGACCGCCUCGCUCUACUGAUUCCAACGGUGGGUGCACGCCACCUGUGGUGGCCUGUGUCACCGGCAAUCGCCGUCGAGGAGGCCAUCUGCCUCGGCUCGUUGCGCCCCCGAGCGAGACGAAGAAGAAGCCAGCCAAGGCCAUCGCCCGUGGACCCCACCCAUCAGUCUAACAGAAGAGUUGACUAGCCCCGCUCACCGAAAACGUUAAAUUGUGAACGUUCACUAUUUAAGCCACUUUUCUGCCUAAAAGGUGAACGAGGACAACAUUUCAUCCGUCACUCCGAUUGAGCCCCUCUGAGAGAGAACCGUUCUCUGGAAAAAUUUCCGCGAGUUGA